AAUUUAGGUAAAAACUCACGCUUGAUCGUUUUGGCACAAGGCUGUACCAAGUGACGGUGCGAAUGGUAGCGCAGAUUCAGGUGCAAAACUGCAGGUUCUGCAGCAGAAAACACACGGCACGGUCCUUCUCGGAUUCUCUGGCGAACUCUAUGGUGAUCGCGGCUAGUAAUUUUCAAUAAAUUCAACUACGCACU